CGAGAAGCCUCUUCUUUAGUGUGCUAGAGAUGGCUCAAUCCAGUGAGGUUAAGCCAAGAGACCAUCCGCAUCGGCUUCUCAGAUGGCACCGACGCCCUCAUCAAGCUCUUAAGCCACAGCUUCUUGAACGUUUGCAAUGUUUUUAUUGACGAAGACUACAUACUCCCUUCUGCUCUCAUAUAUGUAAGUAUUCCUUUUCAUUUGGAUAAGUUGAUGAAGAUUGUGUUUUUUAGUUUUAUAUUUGGCUCCUGCUGCUUUAUGAAUAAAGUCUUGUUUUGCCUAUCUGAUCAAAACAUGGGAAUAUAACUCUGUUCAAUUUUUUGACCUUAAUUUGUUCGGCUGCACGGGACUAUUUGAUAAUUUGUAUUUCUUGGUAAUGCAAAUUUUAAGAGAUGAAUAAAUAUUUUAUAUUUCCAUGGGAUUCCAAUUGGAUGGAAAUUUCUAUUUUAAUACAUCUUUGAAUACCUUUUCUCACUUUUCUGUAACUCAUCCAGGACAUUAGCUUAAUUAUUCAAAAGUUUUUAGACCUGAACCACAUUUGAAGAACUAGUAAAUUGUUAAAUUGUUCCAAAGUGAGGAUCUUGAAAGAAAAUUCUGUCGUUUGACGUCAAAUAGACCUCAUAUCCCAAAACAACUCCUCCUUAAUGUAGUUGGAUCUAUGUAGUUGCUUCAUAUGCAUAUUUUAUAAUUUCGUAUAAGUUCACAUAUGGUGGAAUUUCAAUUUACAAUAACGAUGCUGAAGUACAUUGAUCUUUUAGUUACUUAUUUUGUCUUAGCAGUUUGCAUGUAAUUAUUCUAAAACUACAAGUAAGUUAUAUUUUAUUGGCUCUCUACUCUUUCUGGAAUCUAUCUAUUUAAAUGUCUUUCUUUGCUCAUGAUGUAGCGGAGACCAUGUCUCAUAAAUCUAUUUCAUCUUAUUGGAAUGAGAGGAUCGGAACUAGAUGAAUUUGGAAAUAUUGUUUAUUAGACUCAGGGUUGGCUGCCUUAGAGGUGCCUUUACUGAACUUGAGAGUUUGAAGUUAAUUUCAUGCUAUAAUGUAACAGAUGUAUGGCUAAUAUCUAUUGCUGAGAAAUAUAAAUUGCUGAAGUCUCUGGAUUAACAGGUGAUUGAACAUUUACUUGCAUUCUACCAGUUGAAUAUUAAUUAUCAUUCUGUUUUAAGUAGUCUGAUUUGGAUAAAAAUAUUGACGUGCUAUCUCUAAAUCAUGGAAGAACUUUUGCGUUGUGUGAGAAUUCAGAAUAUGAAUCUGGGUUUUCUACAAUUUAGAAAUAUAAAUCUAGCUUUUCUACUUGCAGUUUUCCUUUGACUUGUAUAGCUGUUUUGUAGCAAGAUCCAGAAUCCUUUUGCUUAUUUGCUUAGGCUGUGGUAUUAGGGAAGACACAUAGAAUGAUUAAUGGAAGUGGGAAAAUAUGGGGGAAAUUGGGUUUCUUUUCUUGAUUGGACGGGAAGGUUUAAGGGAUGGAAAAAAUGGAGCGGAAGUGUUCUUUUAUUUCAACUAACACAUGUCAAACAACCAUGGGUAUAAAGUUGUGUCGUUCCACUCUAACUAUCUUCCUUUCGUACAAAAUCUAGCCUUAGGCGAUGCUAUUGCUGUGGGAAAGAUGAUGGCUUAGUGUGUGCAUUGCUAUUUCUAUGGGAAAGAGGAUGGCUGGGUAUUAUUCUGUGGAAUGCAUUUUGCGGGGUAUUUUGUGUUGGUGGUAUAACCGGAAAAUGAUGUGUUCAUUUUCAAAUGGGAGAUUUGCUUUGCGUUGACAAUGAUAGUGGUGGUGUUGGGCGGCGAUUUUUGGUUCUGGGUGAGUGGGGUGGGGUGGGGUGGGUGACGAAGAUAAAUGAAGAACUUUUUCUUUUAUUUUUAUUUUUUUACAACUAAUGGUGAAAUGCCUUUUGGAAUUCAACUGCAUAUUUCUAAAAGGUUGAGGACUUUUGCUGGUACAAAUUAAAGGUUCGAGUAAAGUCUUCCAAAAUUAGAAAUGUUAGGGACUGUUGCUGCAAAUUUUCCUAAAUUUUUUAUGGUAGUCAAAAUUUGCAAAAGGAUCUCUUAUUCUUAGUGACAAUUUUCCCUGCGAUUAAGAUGAUAAGCAACAUCAACAACAAUUAAUAAAUAAUAAUCCAGUUCAUUAUCAAUACGUAAUUAAGCCCGUCUGGGCGUGCUUAUAAGUUGCUUCAAAGUGAAUUUUCAACCGUUGAUUUGCGUAACAGCCACCUGUUUAGCAAAUGAACCGACAUCCGCGUCAGUCCUUUUUUUCCCUUUUUGCCCUUCAAUUUGACUGUUAGCUUACAUUCCCCCCCCCCCCCCCCCCAAAGCGGCUCAAAUGAAGGCAAAUAUGACAUUUGGACAUGCUGCUUUGCAUCAAUGUUCUAAAAGGCGUAAUGCGUGGAAGCCAAGCUCUGGACAGGCGAGUCACAGGCGUAAAAAGGUGUUUUCUUAUAUUAAUAUUAUUUUAAUUUUUAAUCAAUCGAAAAAUCGUUUAAUAAUUAAAAAUAUUACCUGCCUAACAUCUAAAACAAAUUUAUAGGAAAUUCAUACAUUUUUCCAAAGUUUUCGAUAAAAAGAUAAGUUCUAAAUGUAAAUAUCAAAUAGUAAAUAAAUAGGAAUUUUUGGGAGAUUUUUUUUGUUCAAGAUUUCAAGCGACUAUUUUGAAUUUAGAACCGACGAAGUGAAGAAAUUAACAUUUAAGUUUUAACUUUAAAAAUAAAAAAUUCAAAAUUCAAAAUUCAAAAAAAAGUCAAUUAUGUGCGCCUAGAUGCAUAUAACCGUGCCUAGGCGCGCAUUAGUGGUCAAUGAUUGCUGUUGAUUACUAAAUAAGGCGUCAAACCACUUGGCUUGGCGUUUCCGUAAGUGGCUUUGCAUUUCUGCUGCGCCUUUUAGAAAAGUGCUUUGCAUUUAAGGACAAACAUGAUUUCAUGUGGGCCCAGCUGAGAUGACAGGAAAUCGAUUCUGGAUUUUCCAAAAGUACGCCUACUUAUUACAUCUAUCACAAUCCAAUGACAAAAUAAAAGAGAGUUCAAAGGGGGGAAAAAUCAUAAUUAUAAGCAACAAUACGAUUGAGUGAAAACCAGACUAUGAUUUAAAUAUAUUGAUGAUAAAAUAAGUUGGUGAUUGAGUGAAUGUGGAUGUUAAAUAUUUGGAAGACAGGAGAUAAUUUUGACAAUUUGAAGUUAAAACUUAUUAAAAAUGAAGAAAAAGUAUUUUUGAGGUUCAGGAGUUGAACCCUGAUAGUGAAAUUUAGAAUUUUUUUUUUUUUUUUUUUAAUAGAGAAACUGGGAAAAUGUGCAUAAUUAUCUAAUUAUUGAAAUUAAAUGGUAGAGGAAUUGGAUACUUCUAAUAAGUUCUCUAGUUAUUGUCACAAGCUGGAUUUUAAUCUGCGAUUGAUCAUGAGGGCUUGAGUCAAGUUGUUCCGAUCUUGCACUCCUUAUAUUAUCCAGUCUGCCAUCCUCUUUGGGCUCUCCAAAUUUUGAAAUCACCAUUUUCAUCUUUGAGAACCCAAAUUAUUCCAGUUUUUACUGUAUGGCACCAACUGCUUCGUUGAUUAGGUGGAUCACUUUAUCAACCCUACAACUCCCCAUGGUUGAAUGGUUUCUCAAGUGAUGUGUACAUGUUGAAUAUUUCUUGUCUCUCUCCUACCCUCAAAAACAAUUCAAGCUUCUCAUGUCAAUUUAGGAUCAAACCAUAGCUAAGAAUGGUCAACUCAAUAUAACUGAAAUGUCUUAAUCUUCUUCCAUGUCAACACAAUGAAAUCAGUUGAGAACACCAGUUUUCCCACUUUAAUGACUAUGUCUCAAGAGGGAAUUCGGGAACGGGACUAAAUAAAAUUUCAAGUCGAGCUAAUAUAUAAAAAAAUUACACACAAGGAGAAUUAACUAAAAUCGUACCUAUUAACAACACUACUCAAAAAUAAGAUUGUCUGGUUUUAAAUUGACAAAUCAAGUGUUAAUACAAAUUUAUUAAUUAAUACAUUAUUAAUAUGAAAACCAUUUUAACAUAAAAUCUCUUACUACUUUCCCUUAACUUAUCACAUAAAAAGCCUCAGAAAUUAACUUGGCUCUGGUGACAAAAAAAGGGUUACUUCGGCGAUCGUUGCAGAAAAGCCUACUUACGAGGCCAGCCCCUACGAACAAAUCUAUCGACCAAUUGCCUCCUACUCCUUGGGAUGUUUUGUCCCUAAAUUGGAGUAAUGGGUCGGGUUCUUGUGAUGGAUUCUCAGUCAAAUCAUCAGCCUCCUCCAAACAAGAAAACCAGAAGAUGUCAUUUUUAAAGAUCUACUUGAUUUUGCGAAAGCCAAGUCAUCAUCACCUAAAACUAAUAUGCCAUUAUAAGUAGGGCUGCAUACAAAAAUUGCGAAACCGCAAAUCGAAUCGAAACCAUUGAGUUGAAAUUGCUGGUUUGGGUCCACGUGGACCUGUGGUUUUUUCCCUCAAAUCGAACCAAACCGUUUCAAAAUGGUUUGGUUUAAGUUUUGAUUUUAAAAAAUCGCACAAAAUCGAAUCGAACCAUUUUAAAAUUUUUAAUUAAAACAGUUUUCACUUUUCUCAGAAAAAUACUAAUUUAGCAAUACAAAUUACAACCAGUUCAAUCUAUUGAACUAACAAUCGAAAGUAAAUUAGGUUUAUCAUUAUUGGCCUAUAGUUUAAUGAGAUCACAACGUGUCCUCGCCUUAUAUCUAAACUAAACUAAAAUUACUCCAAAACCAUAUGAGAAAAAAAAAAAAAACACAUUUUCAACAAUCCAAAUCAUAAUUCAACAAAGCUAUGUUAGCAAAUUACGUCCAAAAUUUCAAAAACCCUAAUAUAAACUCUCAUUUCCCUAACAUUUGACGCUUGUUCGUCACUGUUGAACGAAUUGCUAGACAGCUUUGCUUGUUAGUCUGCUAAUUUUUACGUGAAUCGCCUCUUUUUCUCCUCUUACAGUAAGUCUCAAAUUCUCAUUCAAGUCAUUUUUUAGUUGUUUCUUUUAUUUGUUGUUUUUGAAUUUAUUAUACACUUGUGAUUUGUAGUUUGGAUAGGAAAAUGACUAUUUGUGUGUCUAGAAGGUUAAUGAACUUGUUUGUGGUUUGGAAAAAAUGAAGGAUGGAGCGUAUUGAUUGUAUGAAAAUGUUAAAAGUUCCCUAACUUUUACUACUACUUUCUACUUAUAUAAAAUAGUUAGAGAAUGAAAUUCGUCAAUUCCUAAUAAGUCGAAAUUCUAUCGGUCUUUGUACGUUGAAACAUAUCCCGUUCAAUCUUUAUUUAAUAUCUCACUAGCAAGACGAAAGGAGUUUUAACCAAAUUAUAUAGCAGAAUGUAACUCUACCGUUACCAAUCGCUAUAUGACUAUAUGACUGUCAAACAAGAAAUGGUAAAUAAAAAAAAUGUAUUUGUUCUAUUAAUAUCUUUUAGCAACCAACUUAGAAUAUAAUUUAUUCAGGGAUUUCAUGGUAAAUAUGAAUGUAACCAACUUGGAAAUAUUACUUACUUGACUCAAGAAUCUUUACCCUUUGUCAUUGAGAAAUAAAUAUAUUUACAAUUGUUGAUUGCCAAUUAAAUAAUGUUGAAGGAAUAUUGCUUAAUCCCCUGAAGAAUAUUUACCUAUUGUCGUUGAGUAAUGGAUAUAUGUACUGUUGUUGACUUUUCAUUCUCAUUUUAAGGAAAAUUCUCCACUUUUGCUAUGUAUUUAUUGUAGGAUGCAGGAAAAUCCAGAACGCCAAAAGUUUCUCCAAAUCUUUUUGCAGAUAGAUUAAGUGCUGUACCUGAUGAACAUUUGCACCACAUUUUAUCAUAUGUACAAAGUUCGUCUUGGCUACUUGUGGUAAUUCUCAGAGAUUGCUAAAUGUUUUUGGUUCUAUGCCUAACAUCAUUCUAGAUGAUUCCUUAUUUAGGACAAGUAGAUACAAGGAUUUUGAGAUUUUACCACGGUGGCCUUAGACAAAUAACGCUCCGAACUAAAAUUCGUCGAUUUCAACUCAAAUUUAUUUUGACUUCAGCAAUAGUGGAGUCCAAACAAUGGUGCAUGUUGCAAUAUAGAGAAAUGCAAAAGAAAUUGAUAUUUGCACGGGAACCCUUGCAAUUUGCACGCGUACCAUUGUUUGGAUUCCACUAUUGCUGAAAUCAAAAAUACAUUUGAGUUGAAAUCAAUAAAUUUUAGUUCGGAGCAUUAUUUGCCUAAGGCCAACCGUGGUAAAAUCUAACUCAAAAUCCUUGUAGCUACUUGUCCUAAAUAAGGAAUAAUCUAGAAUGAUGUUAGGCAUGGAAUGAAAAACAUUUAGCAAUCUCCGAGAAUUAACACAAGUAGCCAUGACGAACUUUGUAUCUACAUAUGAUAAAAUGCGGUGCAAAAGUUCAUUAGGUACAGUACUUAGUCUGUUUACAAAAAGAUUUGGGGAAAUUUCUAGCGUUUUGGAUUUUCUUGCAUCCGACAGUAAAUAUAUCAGGGUUAGGGUUAGAAUGACUAAAAUUUCUGGCGUUCUAGAUUUUCUUGCAUCCUACAAUAAAUAUAUAGCAAAAGCUAGUGGAGAAUUUUUCUUAAAAUGGGAAUGAAUGGUUAACAAUAAUACAUAUAUCCAUUGCUCAACGAGAGUAGGUAUUCUUCAGGCGAUUAAGUAAUAUUCCUUCAAAAUUAUUCAAUUAGUAGUCAACAAUUGUACAUAUAUCCAUUUCUCAAAAGGUAAAGUUUCUUGAAGUGAUAUUUUUUCGAAACAAUUCAAUUGGCAUAAUCUUUGGCAGUUGGCAUAAAUCCAUAAUGAUAAGGUUAAUUUAACUUAUAAUUUUUCGAGAAAACAAAAAUCUCACAAUAGAAUGGUGGCGGUUGAGCCGGAGGCAGUGGUUAAGGAGAGUGAGAACGGAGAGGUAGAAUUGCAUUGCCCCUUCUGAUGAUGAAGGAAGUGGUGUUCGUGUUUGAAAAACAAAAUGUUGAUAUAAUAAGAAAAAAAGGGUUUUCUUGUUUGGCUAGUUUAGUGAGCAAGCGGGGAAAAAAUUGAAAAUCAAAUUAAAAAAAUUGGAGUUUUACCUAUUUCAAUUUUGUUGGAUUUUUUUAGUUUUGUAAUUUUGUUAAUUGGUACUUUUAAUCACAUCUAUUAAAAUCUACGACUUUUAUAUUUUUUAUCCGCACAUUUUAUAAGCCUCUUGUUUGAGCUCCAUUUUAAUGAGUAUUUUUUUUUUUUUUGAAAAAAUAUAUUCUGAAAUAGUGAUCUUUUAAGAAUGUAUGGUUAAAAAAGAAUAAAAAGUUUUGAGUUUACGUGUAAUAUUAUUUUAUUAGAGAAUGUGUACUAUGUAGUUAAAAAGAAGAAAGAGAAAUAUGUAUUUUAGAAAUAAUGGAGGCCAAACAGGGGGUAAAUCUCAACAUUUUUUUUGUUAAAUCAGGCUAAAUAUUAAAAGAGUUUAUUAUAUCAAAAAUUAUACUUAACCAAACACAAAAAUAUCACCAACAAGGAGUAAUCUAUAGGGUCUAGACACACAAGGUUACAAUAAAGGCAUUAAUUUUGAUCCAACUUAGCAAGUAGUCUACUCCAUUUUAUCAAGUUUCCAGUCCAAUGCACGACUUAAGGACUCGUCGAGCAAUUGUCACAUUACAUGGGAAGGCUGAGGAAGUUGUAAGUGAAAAGAACUAGAAGGUGAAUCGUCUUCCAGACUUAUGUCACUUAGAAUAGAAUCCUCCGCCUCAGUCCUCCUUCAACCAUCAUCCACUAAUAACAUAUCAACUAACUCGUAAGCUUCGUCAACAAUGACAGCAUACAACAUCCACAUGCUACAAAUAUUAUUUUCAAUCAUAAUUAUGUUGGGUUUAUUAAUUUGUUACGUGGGCUUACAUAUAUAAUUAACUGUGUAUAAGGUUAUCUUAAAGUUAAGCUUAAUUAAAGUGAUUUAAUAAAGAAUUAAAUUGUUCGGUGUAGGGCAUUCAAAUAAGGUGUGGACACAUUCUUUAUGUCAUCACAUCAACACAAUAAUACAAGAGGAAACAUAUUGAAGAAGAUCCAAAACCUACAAUCAAACCCACAAUCAAGAAUUAAGAUGAUCAAUAACCAAUAUUCAAGAUCCGGAAUUAAGAUGCAGUAUUAAAGAAAUAUUCCCAAUGAAUUAAGGUAUGUUCCACACUUUAUAAUUCUCGUGAUGACUUGAUUGGAGGAUCUUGACAAUAAAGUAAUUAUAUUUUCUAGUUUUGAGAUUUGAUGUUUCAACGAGUGGUAUUAGAGCCAACUCCAUGUUAAACCAUUGAGAUUAAAGGAAGAUUUUAGGGUUAAAUUCAUACUUUGGUUUUACAAAACGUUGGGUUGUGAAUUUCAAAUCCUAGGUAUCAAAAUUUUGGAAUUUUUGGGAUUUUUCAGUAUUGCUACAGCGUCGUAGCAUUGCGACGCCAUGUUAGGGCGUCACGAGCUGCGUUCAGUUAAGUUGGCAACGCCCUAUUGUCGCUGGGUAUUGCAGCGCCCUAAUUCUAUCCCCAUUAUUUUUUUUCUUUCGGACACAGAAGAGAAAAAUAAAAAUAAAAUAUAAAGGUAUCAUCAAUUUCAAAUCUUAGUACUUAAUAUUUAUUUCAGAUUACUAAUUUCUUAAAAUAGAUUAGUUGAAGUAACAUAUUAUCAAAGUAACCUCUCUUGUCUAAAUUAAUUUAUUUAGAAUAUUAGGAGGGUUGUGUGUAUGUUAUUCAUUCGAAUAUUCACCGGUCCAAAUAAAAGGUCAAUAUUUGGCUGAACUAUUUGCACACGUGGUAAUAAAUGUGACAAUUGUAAUGUUUUUCAUUAUGUUAACAAUGAGUUAGUCCAAAGAUAAACUUGAUCUUUGAUCAGAUUUAUUGUCAAUAUUUGAUUACUAUACUAAGACUACAACUUACUAGAUAUUUUCGUCCGAAGAUUAAAUUUCAAUGCUGUGCUAGAUCUCUUGUGAUGGGACGCACCAUUAUUUGAAAUUAUCGAUUGUCCAAUAUGGAUUCCAUGUGAACAUGUUAAUUAGGUUUAAGUUUUCUAUUAAGUUAAUCCAUCAACUUCUACAAUUUCUGCCAACAUCAUUUCAAUUCUUGUGCUUGAAUCAAAAUUUAAGGACUGGAAUGAGAACGUUUUCAUUGUUCUUAGCGGCAUGGAUCUAGACCUUGCUUUAAGGAUUGAACAAUCCACUGCUCUUACGGAUAAAAUUUUCACUAAUAAAAAGGGACUCAAAUAAGUGGAAUCAUUUAAACCGCAUGGAUCUUGUGAUCAUAAAACAUGGAGUUCCACUAACAUUCAGGGGCCUAAGGUAACUAAUGCCAAGGGAUUUCUUAAAGAAAUUGAAAAAAAGCUUUCCAAAAAGCAAUAGGGCUGAAAUUAGCUCGCUUCUGGCGAACUUGGCUUCGUUAAAGAAUAAGGUUGAAUAAAACAUAAAUGAGUAGUACAUUAUGGAUGUCUCGUCUUGCUUUAAGAUUAAAGGCAUUAAAGUUUAAGUUGUUUGAUGACUUUCUCGUGCAUUUGAUUUUGAUUUCUCUUCUUGCACAACUCGAUUAAUUUAAGGUCAGUUACAGUUGCCAAAAAGGGAAUGGACUCCCUAUGAGCUCAUUUCACAUUGUGUGAGAGAAGAAAAAUGUUUAAAGUAAGAGAGAACUGGAAAUACUUACUUGGUUAGUACGUCUAAUAACAAGUUAAAGAAAAAGGAAACUGCAUUUAGUUCAGUUCAAAAGAAGCAGCAAAAGCUGAAAAGAAUUAAGCAAGAGAGCCAACUGGCGGCAAGUUCUCGUAUAUAAAAAAAUGCAAGCAAUUGUCUUGACUCAAUCAAUGAUCUGAUUUACCAAAAUCAUUGGGAAAAAGUAUUUAUUUUUAAAAUAAUUACAGGGUGGACGGGGACUAUAAAUAUCCAGCCUCUGCUGCAUGCAAAAGCGCAAGCCUCUCCUACAGAGUCUAUUCUUCACCACAUUAAUUUCCUCCAUUAUUAAGCUUUUGAUUUCAUUUUUUAAGCGAAAAUAUGGAAAUCUAAAAAAAAAAAAUUAAAAGGUUUUCAAGCUGCCGGGGAGUCUCUUUUGAGAUUAAACCACAUUCUGAUCCAUUUGCCCUCCCAACUUCGGCCAUAAUGGAAGCUUUUCUAAACUGGUUCCUUAAUUGGAAACAGUCAGAUUGAUCUUUUGCUUAAUUCAAUUAUUGCGGAUGCCAGUUCUUUAUUUGGUUAUGUAACCUAUAUUUGCUUAAUACAUUUGCCUCUUAUAAAGAACAUUACAUGUGAAUUCACAUGGUAUUAAACAUAAAUUAAUUGAUGAGAAUUUCACUUCAUUAUGGAACAAGCUAUUAGGUCACAUAUCUCAAAAUAAAAUAGAAUGGCUUAUGAUCCCCCUGAUUUUACAAACCUUAAUGUUUGUGUUAAUUACAUUAAUGAGAAACAAAUAAAUAUAAGGAGAUUAGGUGUCAAAAGAACUUCAGACGUCUUAGAACUAAUUCAUGUGGAUAUCUAUGGGACAUUCCUUUCGGCUUCUUAGAAUGGUCAAUGGUCAUUUAUUACGUUCAUAGACGAUUUUUCUCAUUAUGACUAUAUCUCAUUCAAAAGGAAUCUCAAUAACUAGACAAGUUCAAGCUUUAUAAAAUAAUUUAGGUUAGAUCUUACUAUAGUGGUUAAUACUAUGACGGAUUAGGAGAACAACGUCCAGAGCCUUUUCCUAAAUUCCUAAAGGAAUGUGUAAUCAUCUCACAGUACAGCAAAAUCUCUCUUUCUAAAGAUUGCAACUUAAGUUCUCUAUAAAAUUCCAAAUAAAGCAACUAUUAAACCCCUUAUGAACUUUGGAUGGGCAAGAAGCCUAAUUUGAAGCACUUGUACAUUUAGGGUUGUUCGGUUAAGGCAAGGCCUUGUAGGCCAUAAAAAAAAAACAAGCUGGACUCCAAAAUUGUCAGUUACUACUUUAUUGGAUAAUUUGAAAGGUCAAGGGGUUACAAAUUUUAAGAUCCACUAUCAGGUCAAUUUUCAAAAUAGAAAAUGUCCAAUUUUUUUACGAUGCCGAGUUUACGGAAGGAGAUAAGGUUAUAAGGUUAAGGAUUUUAUCUUGGAAGAAGAAUAUGUACAUAUUUCUUCUAUUACAAUUGACAAUGAUUAGGACCAGGGACAUUCUUGCUCCAGAUCUAGUUUCACUCCAACUAAAGUUUAUAGUUGAUCCCGUUAAAGAAUAAGGUAGGGCCAUUUGGAAUUAGGGAUAUUUAGAUUUCAUUGCAUGUAAUUUUCAUGCAAUACAUCCAUACUUGAUCUAUGUUGAUUGUGUUGAUAUACAUGACCAUUAAGGGUUUAGUUAUGAUAUUUGUAACAAAGACCGCUUUGAUCCUAUAUUAAUAUAAUCAAUGGAUGAGACUGUUCAGAGAUGCUUUUGGCUAUGAUAGCAAAAGUUUUGAUGUCAUAAUGUUAUACACUUAGCAGGUAACAUAUGUGGCUCAAGUGGGAGAUUGUUGGGUUUAUUAAUUUAGCUGGAAGAUCCUGGCAAUAAAGUAAUUAGGUUUUCAAGUUUUGAGAUUUAAAGUUUCAUAAAAUUCUAACAGAUUAAUGAUAAAACAAAAUAAAAAUGACUCAUAGAUAAGUAUAAACGCAAUCGUGCCAUUUUUGCCUACUUUUGAAAAUGAAAGUAGAAAUUUGACACUAAUUUCAUCACCAAUGAGACUUAGUUUGUCAAAAAAGAGGAUGUCAAAGAUGAUAUAAUGCUGAGAAAAAUAGGCUUUAAAAUAAAUAUAACCAUACUCCAACUAUGGUUUUCCAACUAUUAAGACUGGAUAGUUUGCCCCUCCAACUCUAAUAACUAGCUAUUUCGAUCCUCCAACUAUUUGUACCCACCAUUUUAGUCCUCACAUUAGCACUUAAAACCAUAUUUGUGCCUCCAUCACUAGUCAACUCCACUUUGUUCCCCCAACUACGGUUUGUACCAUAUUGAUCAUUCUUCUAUCAGGAAUAGGUUUAGUUCUCAAAGUAUCAGUCCAAUUAGGUCUUAUAACUAAUAUUUUUCAUCAUUUUGGUGAUUAGGUUAUUCUUAUGCGAGGGUCCCUUUUGCUCUCUUACUCUUCCCCAGCUCUUAUUCCUUAGCUGGCUUCGUUCAGCUGACCUUUCACUUGGGGUUUUGCUCCUGGCUGGCCUAACCAAGGCUGUCAAUUUGAUCCAGCAAUUUACAAAUUUCAAUUCUGAUCUCCAACUAUUUGUCAGCAUCAAUUUUGUCCUUUAGCUAUCUGUCAAAACGAACUUAGUCCCUCAAUUAUGCCCUUCUUGAAUUUUCCCUCAAACUAUUAUUUAGCACCACUUUAGUCCUCAAACUAUCAUCAGCGUCAAUUUUUCUCCCUCUAUCACUAAGCGACACUGGUUCUUCAGCUGUCCAUUCCCUUCACUUCUGUACUCCAUGUUCGUUUCAAACGAGUUUGGUCCCCCAACCUCAAUUCGAUCAAGGUAUAUAUUAGAUCAUAUAAUUGAUUCUGUUAAUUUGAGUGAGUGAGUGAUAAGCUGUCAUAGUUGGUAGUUAAUGUUGAACUGUCAUGUAACUAAUUCUAAACACCAGUCAGCCUAUUUAUAUUGUUUGGAUUGUAACACAUGAUACAUGUUUUCAUGAAAUGAAUUUCUUCUCUACGGUUGUUCUCUCCAGAUUCUACUCUAAUCUUCAAACCUUGGUAUCAGUAUUCUCUUCCAUUUAUUCUCUUCAAACAUUAAUAUGGUAUCAGAGCAGGUUGCUUGAUCUGCUGUAAGUAGUCUCAUGAAAAUUCAAAACUGUUCAAACGUAGGGUGCCACUUUCUUUUCCUUUUCUUUCUCUUGGAUAUUGAACUGAGAUCAUCUUCAAGUAAAUCCACCUUAUAUGAAACUUCGAAUCCAUAUUACCUUCAUCAUUCUGAUAGCCCAGGAUUGGUACUAGUUUCGCAGCCUCACCGGAGAAAAUUAUACCUCCUGGAGUAGAGUGAUGCUGAUCGCAUUGUCCAUGAAAAACAAGCUUGGAUUUGAGGAUGGAUCAAUUGAAAAGCCUGAAGGUACUGAUUCGGAUGUCCUCAGCUCUUGGACUAGAAAUAACAAUGUAGAUAUUUUUUGGAUAUUGAAUUCUGUUUCUAAGGAAAUUUCUGCUAGUAUUAUAUAUGUUGAGUCCACACAUGAAAUAUGGCUUGAUCUUAAAGAAAGUUUCCAACUGAAAUAUAAACCUAGGAUCUUCCAGCUAAAGCAUGAAUUGAUGAGUUUAGCUCAAGAUCAAAAUUCUGUUAGCAUAUACUUUACAAAACUGAAAACUACAUGGGAAGAAUUAAGCAAUUAUAGGCCUGUAUGUUCUUGUAGCAAAUGCACUUGUGGUGGUGUUAAGAAUCCUAGUUCUUAUUAUCAGAUUGAGUGCGUAAUGUCUUUUCUUAUAGGACUAAAUGAUUCUUAUUCACAAGUUCGAGGACAAUUACUUUUCAUGGAUCCAUUACCGUCUACAAAUAAAGCUUUUGCUCUAAUCUCGCCAGAAGAAGAUCAGAGGAAGAUCACUAGCCAAGUUGGUUGUACUUCAGAUCCUGUUGGAAGUAUGACGUUUACUGUUAAAUCAUAUAAUGCUAAACGCCCUGGAAUUCCUAAUUCUGGAACUAUAGCAAUGGUAGUAAUCGAAAUGAUUCAACAAUGGAGGUUACAAAGGAUAGAAGAAAGAGGGACCUUUUUGUACCCAUUGCAACUUCCAUGGCCAUACGGUUGAUAGAUGCUAUGAGAUUCAUGGCUACCCACCUGGUUACAAAGUAAGAGACAGAGAUAACUCAGCCUAUACCAGCAACAACAUUGCAAUUAAUCAGGUGUCAAAUCAGAAUGAACAACAAAGUGAAAUGGGGAGCUUUGUCCAAAAUCUCAAUUCCAACCAAUACCAACAUCUCAUGUCUAUGCUGUCAAAUUAUUUGGCCUCCUGUCAAAACUACUGAUGAUUUUACUACUACUUAUAUGGCAGGUAUUUGAAUCUCAAUUGCAUUUGAGUUCUAUCUUUUCAUUUACUCAAUAUUGGAUAGUUGAUUCCGGUGCUAUAAGGCAUAUAUGUUCAACUGCUGAUGCUUUCGAUUCUAUGAAACCUUCUUAAAAUUCCAAGGUCACCUUACCAAAUCAUACUCAAAUCCCAGUGAACUACUCUGGUGACAUUAGACUGAGCUCUAUGCUUGUCCUCAAGGAUUUUUUAUAAGUUCCUCGAUUCAAGUUUAACCUGAUAUCUAUAAGUGCACUCACUUGUGGAUCAAAUCUCACGAUCAACUUUCUUCCUGAUUGCAGCAGUAUCCAAGAACACAACACCGAGAAGAUGAUUGGCAAGGGUGAUAAGUUUGAAGAUCUCUAUGUUCUGGAUAAAAAAAACAAUCUGAAUUUUUUCUCUACAACAUAUGUAAAUACCGUUUCAGCUCAUAUAUGGCAUAGAAGGCUUGUCUAUCUUCUGACGUUUAGAUACUUUGAAACACCAUUUGCAUUGUGAUGUAUCUAGAUUGAAUAAAGCUGAUCUUUGUUACAUUUGUCCCCUUGCAAAAGAAAGAUGAUUAUCUUUUGAUUCUCACAAUCAUAUGUCUCAAUUUCCAUUUGACUUGGCGCAUUGUGAUGUAUCUAGAUUGAAUAAAGCUGACCUUAUCAUGUUCCUUCUCAUGCUGGCCACGGAUUUUUCUUAACCUUGGUGGAUGAUUGUACUCGGUUUACAUGGAUUUAUCUGUUAAAGCAAAAAUCUGAUGUUGAUACUGUUAUUCUAAAGUUCUUUAACAUGAUAUCUACACAGUUUAAUACCAAAAUCAACGUGUUCAGAUCUGAUAAUGCACCGAGCUGACCUUUGCUGAAUUCUUCAAUAAUAGAGGCGUCUUACAUCAAUUUUCAUGUGUUGAGAGGCCACAAUAAAACUCCGCUGUAGAAAGGAAAUAUCAACAUCUCUUCAACGUUGCACGAUCACUAUACUUUCAAUCCAGAGUUCCAAUUCAAUUUUGGAGUAAGUUUGUCCUUACUGCAGCCUACCGUAUCAAUAAAAUACCCUCUCCUUUGCUCAAACACAGUACUCCUUAUGAAGUCCUACACAAACGCUCAACAGACUAUUCUCACUUCAAGGUGUUUGGGUGUCUGUCGUUUGCAUCGACACUCUUUGUUCAUAGAACCAAAUUCCAACGAAGAUCUAGAGUUUGUGUGUUUCUUAGUUAUCCACGAGGUAUGAAAGGUUAUAGAUUAUAUGAUACUGCAUCAAAACAGAUCUUCGUAUUCAGAGAUGUCCUAUUCCAUGACGGAAUCUUUCCAUUUUAUUCUGUUGUUUCCUCAGACGAGUUAAUUGACCCUUUCCCUGAUCUUGUCUUGCCAAUUCCUUUACUUGAAAAGUCUCCCAUCCCUCAGUUUCUACCUUCCAAUCAUCAUAGCACACAUAAUGAUAUUCCAGCUGCUUCCCAUAAUGAUAAUUUUGAAACUUCAGAUGCAGAUCCACAACAUUCCAAUUCUUUUCUAGAUAAAACUGCCCUAAGAAGGUCUACUAGAACAUCAAAGCCUCCUUCCUAUCUAAGAGAAUUUCAUUGCAAUCUUUUGCACCAGAAAUAUUCGAAUAAUGAAACUCCUCCAUGCACCAGUGCAUAUCCUAUAUCUAAAUACUUGUCCUAUAAUUCCUCAUCUCAUACUCACAUAAACUUCGUCCUAAAUGUUUCAUCCCAAUUUGAACCUUGACAUUAUCAUCAAGCCGUGAAAUUUCCACAAUGGAGGGUUGCCGUGACAGCUGAAUUGGAUGCUAUGGGAUCGAAUAAAACUUGGUCAGUCACUUCAUUGCCCAGCGGAAAACAUUCUAUUGGUUGUAGAUGGAUUUACAAAAUCAAAUACAAAUCAAAUGGUACCAUUGAAAGAUACAAAGCACGCUUAGUUGCCAAAGGACAUACACAACAAGAAGGAUGCAAAGAGACUUUUUACAUGUAGCAAAACUAGUUAAAGUUUUGUUAGCACUUGCUUCAAGUCACAAAUGGCAUUUGUUAUAACUUGAUGUGACAAUGCCUUCCUUAAUGGAGAUUUAUUUGAAGAAGUAUAUAUGGAUCUUCUACUUGGUUAUGAUGUGCAAAGGAAAUUGACACACACGGGGAGAAAUUGGUUUGUAAACUUCACAAAUCAAUAUAUGGUCUCAAGCAAGCUUUUGAGACAAUGGUACUCCAAGUUUUCUCAGCACUUAUUCAAUUUGGCUUUGUUCAAUCUAAGGUAGAUUACUCUUUAUUCACCAAAGGAUCUGGUGCUUCAUUUGUUGCUUUAUUAGUCUACGUGGAUGAUGGAAUAGUCACUGGUCCAAACAGUCAGGUAAUAUAAUCUUUAAAGGGUUUUCUCCACACACAAUUUAAACUCAAGGAUUUGGGGCCUCUGAAGUACUUCCUUGGUCUUGAAAUUGCACAAUCAGCCAAAGGCCAAUUAUUAUCUCAGAGGCAUUAUACUCUCCAGCUUCUUGAAGACAUGAGAUAUCUAGCUUGCAAGCCCAUAUCUGUCCCUAUGGAUCCUAAAGUCUAUUCUAAUGCACGUGAAGGUAAAAUUCUAUAUGACAUUUCUCAAUAUAGACAACUAGUUGGACGCCUUCUUUAUCUUACUUUAUCCCAACCAGACAUCACUUUUGCUGUCCACAAAAUCAGCCAAUUUUUGGCUAAACCUCAUAGACCUCACUUUAAAGCUACGCAUCAUCUCCUAAAUUAUCUUAAAUCCAAUCCUGGACAGGGUUUGUUCUUUUCCUCCUCAUCCUCUCUCCAGUUAGAGGCCUUUUCAGAUUCUGAUUGGGGCUCAUGUCCAGACACCAGGAAAUCUAUGAUUGGUUUCUGCAUAUUCUUAGGUAACUCCCCAGUAUCAUGGAAAAUAAAAAGCAGACCAUUUCUCGUUCCUCAGCAGAAGUGGUAUACAGAGACUUAGGGGGUGUUCUCUUUGUAUUUCAAUUUUGUGUUUUGAGUUUUGAAUUCAUUUUGAGUUUUGUGUUUUGAGUGUUUGUUUUGAAAUUGUUGAAAAUGCGUUCUUUUUGUUAGUUUCUCAAAACAAAAAACAAAAAAAUUUUUUUUUUUAAAAUUUUGAGAAUCACCACAACACCACUUCAAAACACCAAAAAAUAAAAAAAUAAAAAUUUUUUUUUUUUGAAAUUUUGAGAAUCACCACACCACCUCCUCAAAAAAAAAAAAAAAAAAAAAAAAAAGAAGUGUUUCCCGCGUUUUCAAUUUUUUCAAGUUUUACACUGAAAACGCCCAAAACGACAAAAAAGUCGUUUUGUGUUUUCUUCACAAAUUUUUUUUCGUUUUCGAAAAUUCGUUUUCGAAAACGGGAAAGAGAACGCGUUUUCACCGUUUUGAAAAAUCGAAAACAGAAAACAACCCGAAAAUGGUAAAGAGAACAGGGCCUUAGCUUCCACGACUUGUAAACUAGUUUGGUUACCAGCUGCUGAAAUAUUUUCAAAUGGAAGUAUCAUCCCCAGCUCUUUUUUUCUGCGAUAAGCUGCAAUUCGCAUGGCCUCCAAUCCCAUUUUUCAUGAUGAACCAAAUAUAUCAAGAUUGAUUGUCAUUUUAUUUGAGACAAAGUUACUGAAGGGUUUAUUUAGCUCAUGUCUAUCCGGUCUCAACAUCAGCUUGCCGAUACAUUCACUAAAUCUCUUCCUUCUUCUUCAUGCUUCCUCUCUUAUCCAAGAUGGCUGUCAAAGAUAUUUAUAGUCCAUCUUGAAGAGGAGUAUUAGAUCAUAUAAUUGAUGGUAGUUAAUGUUGAGCUGUCAUGUAACUAAUUCUAUACACCAGCCAGUCUAUUUAUAUUGCUUGAAUUGUAACACGCGAUAAAUGAUUUCAUGAAAUGAAUUUCUUCUUUACAGUUAUUCUCUCCAGAUUCUUCUCUUAUCUUCAAACCUUGUUAUCAGUUCUUCUCUUCCAACUUUUCUCUUCAAACAUUAAUAGUAUAGAUGAAUUAACUGUUGAAUCUACGAAUUUGAAUUGGUAGAAGUAUGAAAAUCCAAGUGUUUCUCCUGUUUUUUGCUGCAAGGAUAUGGUUAAACUAUUGGCUUGGAAGUCUCUCAUUGAAGGGAUACGUUUCGAGAGAUUGUAAUUCAGUCCCUUGGAAUUGGGAUACGGAGGAUGAGUUGUGGGAUUUAGGGAACGCUUAAAGCAUUGAAUUUUGCUGUAAUAACAAUAGUUGGGUGAAAUUUCAUAAUCAUCACUUAUAACAUAUGGUUUUGCAGAUAUCAUUGAAGAGUUUUAGAGAUGGUGUCAUAUGUGAUCUUAUUAUCACCAGCAAUACCCAAAGACAUGUGGAGCCUUUGGCCAUAAUAAUGGAAGCACUGGCUGAAACAGGCAAUUCAGCAUUUCCCAAGUAUGCCUGUUUACUUCUUGUUUUCAGGAAAAAUAUUCUGAUAGUUGCAUUGCUAUAACAAGGAAAUGAAAUUCUAACUUAAGUCAAAAUGUAAAUUACAAUAAUUUGUAAAUAAAAUUGAUUGUAUUGCGAAUAUUCUUUUGAGUUUUGCAUCACCUAAAAUAUUCCCCUUGGUUUGCAUGGAAGGAGUUUCAGUAACUGUGCUGAAAAUUAUUUAUUGAAUCUAAUCCACUUUGUACUCUUGAGUUCCAUGAGAUAUAUAGCAAUCUUGACUCAGGUUGCCCUUGAAUUCUAAUACUAUUAAAUAAUGAAAUUGAAUGGAUUGGGGAAAAGAUGAAAGCAAAGAAUUUGACUUAUCAUUCUUUAAAAAGCAUCAAUAUAAUGCUUUCUGCAGUGAAGGUUUUCUAAAACACAAUGGUAAUAUUGCUACCCCUUUGUCACUAGGAUUACUGUUAAUGUCACCAGUUAAUGCGUGUUGUUCAUAGAGGCUGAUCCAAACAUCAAACAUAAGCUUUUUGAUGAAAACAUAUGGUUAUCAUUUCUGCCAAUUCCCUUUGCUAUUGAUCUGCUGCACCGAGCUUCAAUCACGAAGCUUCAGCUCACAUGUGAUGCUUCAAUUAAGAUAUUUUAUCACUUCAUCAUCCUUACCUUAUGACUUCAAUUCGGUUGGUGAGGACGUGAAGUGUGGGCUUUUUAUUUAUCUUCGAAUUUAAUGUCACGUGGGCCUCUUUUGAAGUUUUGUUAGGUGAGGCGUAACAACUUACACUUGAUGUUAUUUGAAGGUAAUGCAAUUUUAUACGCUUUCAAUAGUAAUUUAGACCUCUUGAAUUUUUUUUAUUUUUUAUUUUUUACAAAGCCCAAUACUCGUACACUAACAUGGCUCACAUAUUCUGUCUAUCCUACAUUCAAAUAUACUUGUACAACUUGAUUAACUUAAUAGCCACCGCCUUUCCCACCUUCAGGGAAUGUCACUCGUUUUUUACGAUUUGUCCUAAUGUGCAGGAACAUUAUGCGUGGAUUCGAGUGGAGCCGAAUUUGCUAACCACGUCAUCGGUCCAAAAUUCAACGUCAACACAUACAAUUUUUGUUCAUUAGUCUUUUUUUUUUUUUAAUAACUAAUGUUCAAAUUAGUUGUUGGUUGAUCUAGAAAUAAACAAAGGCGAAUAAGCGAUUUUUGGUUUCUUUUUCCCUUUUUUUUUUCCCUAUCAAAUUUUCCUUUUUCCAGAUCAUUGCAAAAAAUGAUGAAUUACUCAGUCCUUGGAUCUUUAUUAUUUUAGCUAGUCAGGCGCUAAAUAUGAAUUUCGUGACUGGUAAUUUAAGCAAAGUUCAGCUAGGUUUUCAGACUUAUUGCACUUCACUAUAGCCCCUGUUCCCUAUAUCUGUAUCCCUAUACAAUAAAAGACAUAAUUUUUUUUUUUUUUUUUUUACCCAGGUGUCCCAGUUUCGCUAGACUAAAUCCUGGACCUCAAGCCUUCGGCCCCUCAUUAGCUUGAGGAAGUUAAUCGCGGGUUGUGCCCUUAUUGGCUCCCAGGUUCCUGUAUGACUUUUACUCCUUCCCCAAAGAGGGCCCUCUCCACUGCCUUCCAGCACCUUGCCUUCGAGAUAAAUCCCCCUUCCAAGAUGCUGCUUUCUAGGAAUCGAACCCUCCACGCUUGGUUUGUGAGCCCACCAAUGCAAUUGUUCCACCAACUCGGAUGUGCCCCGAGGGGCAAAAGACAUACUUCUCUAGUUGGUUUUGUGCAUCUAAGUGUAGAAGAUUUGAAAGUAUGAGGGUUUGGCUUCCCAGUUGUCUUUAGUGGGCCCUUUUCUUUUUUUUUUCUUUUUUCCUUUUUUUUGUUGCAAACCUCAGCUUAUUUGUUGUGGGUGCUUUUCUCCUUAUUUUAGGCUUGCAGCUUUUGAAGAUUCUUAGUUAACUGAUUUCAUGAAGAUUAAUAUGUAUGCAUCAGACCUUAUACUCAUUAUGCCU
rnacentral:lncRNA from 1 species